UACGUAGGGAGCGAGCGUUGUCCGGAUUCAUUGGGCGUAAAGAGCUCGUAGGCGGUUCGGUAAGUCGGGUGUGAAAUCUCCGUGCUCAACACGGAGCGGCCACCUGAUACUGCCGUGACUCGAGUCCGGUAGGGGAGUGUGGAAUUCCCGGUGUAGCGGUGAAAUGCGCAGAUAUCAGGAGGAACACCGAUGGCGAAGGCAGGUCACUGGGCCGCAACUGACGCUGAGGAGCGAAAGCAUGGGGAGCGAACAGG
rnacentral:rRNA from 1 species